rnacentral:rRNA from 1 species
AUUGAACGCUGGCGGCAGGCCUAACACAUGCAAGUCGAGCGAGCGGCGGACGGGUGAGUAAUGUAUGGGGAUCUGCCUGAUGGCGGGGGUUACUUCCGGGAACCGUUGCUAAAACCCCCUACCCUCCAGUUGAACCCUAUGGGAUUAGCUUUUAGGUGAGGUAACGGCUCACCUAGGCGACGAUCCCUAGCUGGUCUGAGAGGAUGAUCAGCCACACUGGGACUGAGACACGGCCCAGACUCCUACGGGAGGCAGCAGUGGGGAAUAUUGCACAAUGGGCGCAAGCCUGAUGCAGCCAUGCCGCGUGUAUGAAGAAGGCCUUCGGGUUGUAAAGUACUUUCAGUCGGGAGGCGUUACCGACAGAAGAAGCACCGGCUAACUCCGUGCCAACAGCCGCGGUAAUAC